rnacentral:rRNA from 1 species
GCCAGCAGCCUUAACACCCUGCAGCUCUCAAGUGACUACCCACUGAAGCUGAGCAGGGUUGAACCUGGUCAGUACCUGGGUGAGAUACCUCCUGGGAAGCUAUGGUUUCUGCUGGAA